AGCAAACAGGAUUAGAUACCCUGGUAGUCCACGCCAUAAACGAUGACAACUAGACGUCGGAAGGAAUUGCCUUUCGGUGUCGCAGCUAACGCGUUAAGUUGUCCGCCUGGGGAGUACGGCCGCAAGGUUGAAACUCAAAGAAAUUGACGGGGACCCGCACAAGCGGUGGAGCAUGUGGUUCAAUUCGAUGCAACGCGAAGAACCUUACCUGGUCUUGACAUGUCUGGAAGACCGCAGAGAUGUGGUUGUGCCCGAAAGGGAACCAGAACACAGGUGCUGCAUGGCUGUCGUCAGCUCGUGUCGUGAGAUGUUGGGUUAAGUCCCGCAACGAGCGCAACCCUUGUCCUUAGUUGCCAGCACUUCGGGUGGGCACUCUAAGGAGACCGCCGGUGACAAACCGGAGGAAGGUGGGGAUGACGUCAAGUCAUCAUGGCCUUUAUGACCAGGGCUACACACGUGCUACAAUGGCCGGUACAAAGGGUUGCCAACCCGCGAGGGGGAGCUAAUCCCAGAAAGCCGGUCGUAGUCCGGAUCGGAGUCUGCAACUCGACUCCGUGAAGUUGGAAUCGCUAGUAAUCGCAGAUCAGCACUGCUGCGGUGAAUACGUUCCCGGGUCUUGUACACACCGCCCGUCACACCAUGGGAGUUGAUUGCACCAGAAGCAGGUAGCCUGACCGCAAGGAGGGCGCCUACCACGGUGUGGUCAAUGACUGGGGUGAAGUCGUAACAAGGUAACCAAGGG
rnacentral:rRNA from 1 species